GGGAGGCAGUAGUCGAAGAUGUUCCUUGUGAUAUCCGACAGCAGGCGUGAGCGAGCGCCUCCCAGACGGUUGAUGUACUGGACUGCGGAGACAUUGUCCAUGCGCAGGAGGAUGCAGCAGUUGGAUCUUUCCCGGGCCAGGCUGCGGAUCGCGAAGGAUCCCGCCAGGAGUUCGAGACAAUUGAUGUGCAUGGAGAGCUCCUGUGCCGUCCAUGUUCCUCCCGUGGAGAUGGUUCCGUUGGUGGCACCCCAUCCCCACAGGCUGGCGUCUGAUUCCAAUACGAAGUCUGGGGUGUCUCCGAAUAUGGCCUUGCCGUUCCAGGCUUG